rnacentral:sRNA from 1 species
UGUUGAAUAUGACAGGCCAAGUUAUUAA